rfam:Loxodonta africana clone VMRC15-75M7, complete sequence.
UGGUAGUGUUAUUGGGAGGCAGAUAGGAUUUGGCACCCCAGAACCUUCUCACCAUUUUAUUAGACGCCGCUCAGCACUGUGGAGUCAGUCAUCCCAGAGGUCAUGGCUUCCUGGCUUUUCAUCGUUUAGGGUGGCUGCUUGUCAAAUGCUGUCUUCUUUGCUUUAGGUGAA